rnacentral:rRNA from 1 species
GAUCCUGGCUCAGAUUGAACGCUGGCGGCAGGCCUAACACAUGCAAGUCGAGCGGAAACGAGUUAUCUGAACCUUCGGGGAACGAUAACGGCGUCGAGCGGCGGACGGGUGAGUAAUGCCUAGGAAAUUGCCCUGAUGUGGGGGAUAACCAUUGGAAACGAUGGCUAAUACCGCAUGAUGCCUACGGGCCAAAGAGGGGGACCUUCGGGCCUCUCGCGUCAGGAUAUGCCUAGGUGGGAUUAGCUAGUUGGUGAGGUAAGGGCUCACCAAGGCGACGAUCCCUAGCUGGUCUGAGAGGAUGAUCAGCCACACUGGAACUGAGACACGGUCCAGACUCCUACGGGAGGCAGCAGUGGGGAAUAUUGCACAAUGGGCGCAAGCCUGAUGCAGCCAUGCCGCGUGUGUGAAGAAGGCCUUCGGGUUGUAAAGCACUUUCAGUCGUGAGGAAGGUGGUGUAGUUAAUAGCUGCAUUAUUUGACGUUAGCGACAGAAGAAGCACCGGCUAACUCCGUGCCAGCAGCCGCGGUAAUACGGAGGGUGCGAGCGUUAAUCGGAAUUACUGGGCGUAAAGCGCAUGCAGGUGGUUUGUUAAGUCAGAUGUGAAAGCCCGGGGCUCAACCUCGGAAUAGCAUUUGAAACUGGCAGACUAGAGUACUGUAGAGGGGGGUAGAAUUUCAGGUGUAGCGGUGAAAUGCGUAGAGAUCUGAAGGAAUACCGGUGGCGAAGGCGGCCCCCUGGACAGAUACUGACACUCAGAUGCGAAAGCGUGGGGAGCAAACAGGAUUAGAUACCCUGGUAGUCCACGCCGUAAACGAUGUCUACUUGGAGGUUGUGGCCUUGAGCCGUGGCUUUCGGAGCUAACGCGUUAAGUAGACCGCCUGGGGAGUACGGUCGCAAGAUUAAAACUCAAAUGAAUUGACGGGGGCCCGCACAAGCGGUGGAGCAUGUGGUUUAAUUCGAUGCAACGCGAAGAACCUUACCUACUCUUGACAUCCAGAGAACUUUCCAGAGAUGGAUUGGUGCCUUCGGGAACUCUGAGACAGGUGCUGCAUGGCUGUCGUCAGCUCGUGUUGUGAAAUGUUGGGUUAAGUCCCGCAACGAGCGCAACCCUUAUCCUUGUUUGCCAGCGAGUAAUGUCGGGAACUCCAGGGAGACUGCCGGUGAUAAACCGGAGGAAGGUGGGGACGACGUCAAGUCAUCAUGGCCCUUACGAGUAGGGCUACACACGUGCUACAAUGGCGCAUACAGAGGGCRGCCAACUUGCGAAAGUGAGCGAAUCCCAAAAAGUGCGUCGUAGUCCGGAUUGGAGUCUGCAACUCGACUCCAUGAAGUCGGAAUCGCUAGUAAUCGUGGAUCAGAAUGCCACGGUGAAUACGUUCCCGGGCCUUGUACACACCGCCCGUCACACCAUGGGAGUGGGCUGCAAAAGAAGUAGGUAGUUUAACCUUCGGGGGGACGCUUACCACUUUGUGGUUCAUGACUGGGGUGAAGUCGUAACAG